CCAGUAUCUUUAUUUAUGUUAUUUUAUAAAUAUGAUAGUACUAACUAUAAUGGUGAUUUUUAGUGGAAUUUAUGAAAUUUGAAUAUAUCAAAUAUAUCGACUGGAAACUGAGUUUGUGAAAAAAGAAUAUUUUUCUGUGUGAUAUAAAUUAAUUUUAUUACUAUACUUAUUAAAAAAUGUCUGUAUUGAUUUAAAAAUCACAAUUUGUAGAACGGUCCGUUAUCAAUCAAUAUUUAAAUUCUAAAAUGUCAGCAUUUGGUUGUUUACUAUGACUAGUGAUUAAUUCCUGUUUAAAAUUCAAUAUUUCAAUGUUUUAUAUAAAUUGAGACAUUAUUAAAUAUUGGUUAAAAUUGCUUUUUGGUAAAAAUUGUUUUAAUUGCAUACCUAUUUAUCUU